rnacentral:rRNA from 1 species
CUGCAUGAAGUUGGAAUCGCUAGUAAUCGCGGAUCAGCAUGCCGCGGUGAAUACGUUCCCGGGCCUUGUACACACCGCCCGUCACACCAUGAGAGUCGGGAACACCCGAAGUCCGUAGCCUGACCGCGAAGGGGGCGCGGCCGAAGGUGGGUUCGAUAAUUGGGGUGAAGUCGUAACAAGGUAAC